GCCGUCUAGCCUAUUAUGGUGGAUAUGACCCUCGGCUUGAAACCGAGUGGGCUCGGGUUCGAAUCCCGAAUAAGGCA
rnacentral:tRNA from 1 species